GGGACACAAAACGGCACACGCGCUCGGGUUUGACUGCGAUAAAGCUUCGAGUAUGUGCGCUUUUCUGCGUUUGAGCUCGUGCCGGAGGCAGUGCGCGCUAAUCUUCAAUUACAAAGGAGGAGCCUCCGAAUCAGCCCAUCGAGUCCGCAUUGUUAUGAAUCCGCCAACACGCACGAGGUGAAAAUCCCGCACGACGCGAUCUCGACGGACGCUCGAGCGGGUGAAGGCGUGCGCGCUUGACGUGACUUCGCGGCGAACUUCGCUGGCCUCCCCGAUAGCCGCUGAGAAGAAAUAGAGAUAACGAGACACGCCUGAUUGAGAUUCGAAGGGACGUCGUUUGUGCCAAUUUGUCAAACUGCGAGUACGGAAGUCUGCGCUUCAACACCUGUCCCGCUUUCAUGUGCAAAUGGAGGGGAGCUUUCGUUCCGUCUGAUGUUAUUUCAUCAUGAAUGAGCAACGGCCUCGUUUAUACACUGAAUCCCUGUCUGAUGCUGCUCCGACAAAUGCCACUGUUUAAUCCCCAGAUUAUGAGCCGAUCUCCCUCGCCCGAUUCAACCCGCGCCGCACACGCAUCUGGAAGAGCGCGAUGACCAUGCGGACGAUCCGACUCGAGUCUGGAUUGUGUGCCGAACGAGCGAAGGCGGCAACGCUGACGCGACCGUCCGAACGUCCCUUCUGACGCCCGACGCCGUUCGCGGAGGACGACGAUCGCUCUCUCGUUCGACGCCUCCGUCGCAUCCAUCUGAUGCGGUAGACCGAUAGAAUAAACUCACACCGCUCCACAUUCCUCGCAUAGUCGACACCGUUUUUGUAGCGCGUCACCCCGCGCGGUGUGUGUUCAUGCUGAAGCCGUAAAAACAAUAUUUACUGCAGCACGCCCUUUCGACGAUACUCACUCAAAAGCGACUGACUACUGGGCCAAAUCUCGACAAGUGCGCACGAAAACCGAAUCAUUUCAACCUUAUGUAAACGAGGAAGAAAAAGAGGCAGAGACAGCGAGCCGGAGCGGUUGCCGAUAGCGACGGUGUUUUAGAGGCCGAUCGC